rnacentral:rRNA from 1 species
GACGAACGCUGGCGGCGUGCCUAAUACAUGCAAGUCGAGCGGACAGAAGGGAGCUUGCUCCCGGAAGUCAGCGGCGGACGGGUGAGUAACACGUGGGCAACCUGCCUGUAAGACUGGGAUAACUUCGGGAAACCGGAGCUAAUACCGGAUAGGUUCUUCCUCCGCAUGGGGGAAGAUGGAAAGACGGUUUCGGCUGUCACUUACAGAUGGGCCCGCGGCGCAUUAGCUAGUUGGUGGGGUAAUGGCCCACCAAGGCGACGAUGCGUAGCCGAACUGAGAGGGAGAUCGGCCACACGGGGUCUGAGACACGGCCCAGACUCCUACGGGAGGCAGCAGUAGGGAAUCUUCCGCAAUGGACGAAAGUCUGACGGGGCAACGCCGCGUGAGCGAAGAAGGCCUUCGGGUCGUAAAGCUCUGUUGUUAGGGAAGAACAAGUGCCAGAGUAACUGCUGGCACCUUGACGGUACCUGACCAGAAAGCCACGGCUAACUACGUGCCAGCAGCCGCGGUAA